GACGAACGCUGGCGGCGUGCUUAACACAUGCAAGUCGAACGGAAAGGCCCUGCUUUUGUGGGGUGCUCGAGUGGCGAACGGGUGAGUAACACGUGAGUAACCUGCCCCUGACUUUGGGAUAACUUCAGGAAACUGGGGCUAAUACCGGAUAGGAGCUCCUGCUGCAUGGUGGGGGUUGGAAAGUUUGGGCGGUUGGGGAUGGACUCGCGGCUUAUCAGCUUGUUGGUGGGGUAGUGGCUUACCAAGGCUUUGACGGGUAGCCGGCCUGAGAGGGUGACCGGCCACAUUGGGACUGAGAUACGGCCCAGACUCCUACGGGAGGCAGCAGUGGGGAAUAUUGCACAAUGGGCGGAAGCCUGAUGCAGCAACGCCGCGUGCGGGAUGACGGCCUUCGGGUUGUAAACCGCUUUCGCCUGUGACGAAGCGUGAGUGACGGUAAUGGGUAAAGAAGCACCGGCUAACUACGUG
rnacentral:rRNA from 1 species